UGGGGAAUAUUGCACAAUGGGCGCAAGCCUGAUGCAGCCAUGCCGCGUGUGUGAAGAAGGCCUUCGGGUUGUAAAGCACUUUCAGCGGGGAGGAAGGCGAUAAGGUUAAUAACCUUGUCGAUUGACGUUACCCGCAGAAGAAGCACCGGCUAACUCCGUGCCAGCAGCCGCGGUAAUACGGAGGGUGCAAGCGUUAAUCGGAAUUACUGGGCGUAAAGCGCACGCAGGCGGUCUGUCAAGUCGGAUGUGAAAUCCCCGGGCUUAAACUGGGAACUGCAUUCGAAACUGGCAGGCUAGAGUCUUGUAGAGGGGGGUAGAAUUCCAGGUGUAGCGGUGAAAUGCGUAGAGAUCUGGAGGAAUACCGGUGGCGAAGGCGGCCCCCUGGACAAAGACUGACGCUCAGGUGCGAAAGCGUGGGGAGCAAACAGG
rnacentral:rRNA from 1 species